rnacentral:rRNA from 1 species
AUUGAACGCUGGCGGCAUGCUUUACACAUGCAAGUCGAACGGCAGCACGGGGGCAACCCGUGGUGGCGAGUGGCGAACGGGUGAGUAACACAUCGGAACGUGCCCAGUUGUGGGGGAUAACCUAUCGAAAGGUAGGCUAAUACCGCAUGAGCUCGGCAAGAGGAAAGCGGGGGACUCAGCGAUGGGCCUCGCGCGACUGGAGCGGCCGAUGUCCGAUUAGCUAGNGGUGGGUAAAGGCUUACCAAGGCGACGAUCGGUAGCUGGUCUGAGAGGAUGAUCAGCCACACUGGGACUGGAGACACGGGCCCAGACUCCUACGGGAGGCAGCA